GACGAACGCUGGCGGCGUGCUUAACACAUGCAAGUCGAGCGGUAAGGCCCUUUCGGGGGUACACGAGCGGCGAACGGGUGAGUAACACGUGGGUGACCUGCCCUCAGCUCUGGGAUAAGCCUGGGAAACUGGGUCUAAUACUGGAUAUGACUCCACGGUGCAUGUCGGUGGGGUGGAAACGCCUUGUGCGGCUGAGGAUGGGCCCGCGGCCUAUCAGCUUGUUGGUGGGGUGANGGCCUACCAAGGCGACGACGGGUAGCCGGCCUGAGAGGGCGACCGGCCACACUGGGACUGAGACACCGGCCCAGACUCCUACGGGAGGCAGCAGUGGGGAAUCUUGCGCAAUGGGCGAAAGCCUGACGCAGCGACGCCGCGUGAGGGAUGACGGCCU
rnacentral:rRNA from 1 species